rnacentral:rRNA from 1 species
UCCACGCCGUAAACGAUGUACACUAGGAGUUGGGGGGAUACUUUUAGCUCCGCAGCAAACGCAUUAAGUGUACCGCCUGGGGAGUACGGCCGCAAGGUUGAAACUCAAAGAAAUUGAACGGGGGCCCGCACAAGGCGGUGGAGCACGGUGGUUUAAUUCGAUGAUAAGCGAAGAACCUUACCAGGG